UGUAGUAUACAUUUGUCAUUUUUGGCUGCACAUCUUUUGAAAACCCACCUGCAUUUUUGUAUUUACCACAAGAUAAAUUCUGUUUUCUUAAGAUACAAUUUUAAAACUGCAUUUCCCAGCUUUUCUUGUGCCCAGAAUUACAGGUGGGGACCAGUUUCCAGUAGUCAUUUCCACCUACAUAUGUCUUCAAUUUGGAAGUGAUCAAAUAGGAAAAAGCUCUGGCAGAGCACACUUUUUUUUUCUGGUGGCUGUGGAGUUGGCAGUGUCAUAGGUUGCUUCUCCCUUGGGACUGUUUUUGAAGCAAUUCAGAAAUUGGCAAUAGACUAGGGAUAUUGUUCUGGUGAACUUAGCCUGUUUAUUACCCUAGCACAAUCAAUGAGUAUACAUGCUACCUAGUAUCUUUAAUAAAUAUCUAUUCUGCUUAAUCUGGGUGGAAUGAAUGUGUUUCCUUGCAACUAAGGUUAUUUAAUAGAAUAAUUUGUACUAAAAGUGCAAGGAACCCUCAAGGAAAUAAGUAUCUGGGAUUCAUUAUCUGGCAGGUUGGAUUUGAAAGCUCUGAGAAUACAAUUAGUUCUAGAGAAAAGAGCACUGGCACCCAUGGCAUACUGAAAUGAAACACUUGCUUAUAUUUAUCAUCUGUGCUCUUGGUUACCUGGAAUAAUGUUAUUAUAGAAGGCAAGGAAGUAGGAGAGCUUAUGCUUAGAAAAGUACAAUGGGCAUGAAGAACAUAAGAGCUAUAGGGUGACUUGGCUACUUCUAAAUGUGCUUAAGCUUUGAAAGAAAGGAAACAACACCUUAAAGUUUUAAAUUCUCAGCUCAACAUAAUAAAAAAGCCAGGGCGAUAAAAUGAUUACCCUAAAAUUAGCUCUCCUCUCUGUAUGGCUGAUGAAACUGAAAAUUAAAUGCACAGUCUAAUGCUGUGGUUUCUCAAUUACAUCAGUUGAAUUCUAAUGAUACCAUGACUCUUACUGAAAGUUAAGACACUUCCAUGGAAUUGUAAUUGAAACAGAUGGGAAAACCCUGAAAACUCAGAGUACUUUGAACACUCAAAUUUACUAAACAUCCCUUAGAAGAAGAAAUAGCUUUUUCUCCAGUCUUGAAUGGGUUGUUCCUGCUUCCCUGAAAACCAUGUAAGCACAUUGCCUGAGGCAGUUACCUCAGGAGGUAGUAUAACUUUCUUCAUAACUCAUUCCUGACACUUUGCAAUGCCUUGGACCCAAAGCUAGUGUCAGAGUUCAGAGUGCUCCAAAAAGCUAGGGCAAAAUUAAACCCAGAAAGAAAAGGCUUACCCACCAAAGGAAAAGAAAAGCAGUGUUUUGACAAGUUAUAUUGGCAAAUACCUGCAGGAAUAUAUGUGAGAAAGCAUUUUAAGGUACUAAAGCAGAACAAAUGAAAUAUAAUGCAUAUGGAAGCAACGUUUUAAAUAUGGGUCCAGAAAAAGGAAAAUACGUGAUUUCUAGAAACCAUAAAAACAGACACAAGCAGCUUUGAAAAGUGUGCAGUAUCUAUUCCCUACAGGAUGAAAACAAAGGUGGGAGAUGCUGCCAUUAAUAUGAGCCUCAUUAGCAGCACUUAACCACAUUGUGAUAAUCAGAGUGCUUUGACACACACUUUGCCUUGCUGAUUGAUUAGGGGGUCCCUGGGUCUGAAAACGUUGUGUAACCAUUAAGGUCCCACUUGAUCUGUAUAAGUAACACAAAAAGAAAUAAACAAACAAAAACAGCAGCAACAAAUAAGCCUAGAAAACAGAUUUCCAGGAUUGUGCCUCCAUGCCAUGACUCCGAGUCAAGUCACAACACAGAAUUUCUUGAAUGAAGAGUAGGCUGGGAAUUCUUGAGGAAGAACCCAUAACCAACCCACUCCUGGGAUAAUGGUAUUAAUUUAUUGAUGAAGGCAGAGCCCUUAUGACAUACUUACUUCUUAAAGUAAGUAAAGGUCCUAGCUCUUAAUACUGUCACAAUGGCAAAUAAACCUCAACAUGAGUUUUUGAGGGAACAUUUCAACCAUAGCACCUGUAGACACCUACUUUUUCUUUCUUGGUGAUCAUGGAAAUGUUUAUAUAUUAACAUUUCCCAUGCUCUACCUUUUCUAAUAAUUAUUAUAAUUUUCCAUAGGUUAGAAAAUACCCAGAAAAAAAUGUGAAUAAAUCAGAGGAGAAAUGGACAUUACCCAGAUGUCAGGCUUGAAGCUUCAUAAAGUAACUGAAGAGAAUUUGGAAAACAAGGUUCUUCUUGGAAUCUUCCUAAUGUUUCAGGCCUAAUGUUUCAUUCACCUCAUGAUACUCUUCUAGGGAGUGUAAUAUGUACCUUCUUUGACAAAUCACACUUGGGCCAGUCUGCAGGAUGCGCAGAAGCACUCCUGGCUGCUCUUGUAAAGAACCGGAUCUAAAGAAAAGGGCAAGCCUCAAAGAUGGAGAGGAUACAGUGGAGGAUUCAGAGGUUGUAGAAGAUGGUGGAGUCUCUGGAUGGAAGGAAGCUGGGUCUCUGAAUCACAAAGUGAAAGACCACUCACCAAACGCCUUAUUGGACAAUGACAUGAAUGAGAACUAAAACCUUUAUAAUUGUAACUCACUAAUAGUUGGGGUUGAUUGUUAUGAUAGCUAGUCUACCUAGACCAAUAGAGCCAAUUCCUAAUAAUAUCAUCUUGGAAGGGUAGGAUGAAGCCUGAUUAUGCAAAGCGAUGAAAAUGACAUAUAUUGAGUAUCAAGGAAAAUUGAAAUCUUUGACAAAGUGGAAUUGCCAUCUCUGAAAACAGUUCUUUUAACUAAAAUACGCCAAUGUAUUAGCAAUUCUUCUUUGAACUAAAUAGAUUGGCACUUUUUGGACCUGAGAUGUGAAACUCUGCCCUAAGUUAGGAUUCAUCUUUCAAUUCAAAUAGCAGUGUCAAUAGGAAAGCAAGUUGGCUGUUUGUGCUUAGCACCACCUGGCUGCAGUUACAUCACUCAGCACUAAACAUGCUGGCUGUGUCAGAUUUGAGUACUGUCAUUCUGAUGAAGUGGGGAGUGUGUUGCCCUGGUAGGAAGCCUUUUAAAUUGAAUGACAAGGUUUUUCUUAUUUGUUACAUCCCCAGGCCAUUGUCAAAUCAUAUAAUGCCAGCCCAGGAAAGUAAUUACAGAACUGUUGUGAGGCUGUUAGCAGCUGCUUUUCAUUUUUCCCCAUUGUGACUGGGAUGUGGUGGAGAAAAACUGGGAUGACUAAGAACCACAACAUAAAUGCCACCCAAUCUGCUGGCCAGUCACAUAUGGCACUUACUUUCAACCAAAGGGAAAAGAGGAGGUCGUUAGAUGUAAGACUGAAAUGUCGUUAGAUGUAAGAGCUGAAUAUAAUGCAGAAUCUACAGCAAAUUAUCACAGAACAAGGUGUGAGGAUAGGUGGAUUCCAUUUAUUAAAGCGUUAUGGAAAUCAUUAGGCCACAAAGUCUAAUUUCUAAAAACAAAAUUCUGUGUUGAUCCCAUUAAGAAAUCCCUCUUCCUCCUAGUUGCUACUUUUCUUUUAGCAUUUUCCUUAUUUUUGUGUAAGAAUUACAGUGACCUUUGGUUAAUAACAUGUUACUCAAAGUUUCCAACAAUAAAUUUAGAUUCUCAUAAAAAAGCAACUGCUAAGAUAUAUGAAGGGGAAAUCAACAUUAUUUAAUGUGUUUUAAUCUUACCAUAUUACCUUAAUUUGAUUCUUUGUAAUAAGAACCUUAUAAGUUAUCCAGUACUUAUUUUCAAAGUUAAUUUAUUUCCUAAACUCCAGUUUGUGAAGAAUGGCAGACAUUUGAUAAGCUGAUUUAAAGUAAAAACAGCUGUAGGUGACAGAAUUGGCAUGAACAGGAUUACAGGACAUAGGAAGCUUUUUCCUCACCAAAAAGGGGAAACCUGAAUGCUGAUGGGACUGCUGGAAAAGAUCCCUUCACUAUCGACAAGUAGCCACCUGCACUUUUUAGUGUCCCUGCAAUGGGUUCUGUUGGCCUAGAGGUCUUAGCUCCAGAGAGAAGAAUGCUACCAUCAGGAGACACAACAAUAAUUCCAUUAAACUGGAAGUAAGAUUGCCACCUGGACACUGGCCUCCUCCUACCUCUAUAUCAACAGGCUAAGAUGGGAGCUACAGUAUUGGCUGGAGUGAUUGACCCAGAAUAUCAAAAUGACAUCAGUCUACUUCUCCAUA